rnacentral:rRNA from 1 species
GAUCGGCCACAUUGGAACUGAGACACGGUCCAAACUCCUACGGGAGGCAGCAGUGGGGAAUAUUGCACAAUGGGCGAAAGCCUGAUGCAGCAACGCCGCGUGAGGGAUGAAGGCCUUCGGGUCGUAAAACUCUGUCCUCAAGGAAGAUAAUGACGGUACUUGAGGAGGAAGCCCCGGCUAACUACGUGCCAGCAGCCGCGGUAA